GCGCCGCUAGCUCAGUUGGUUAGAGCGGCUGACUCUUAAUCAGCAGGUCCGGGGUUCGAGUCCCUGGUGGCGCACCG
rnacentral:tRNA from 1 species